rnacentral:rRNA from 1 species
AAACGGCCGCGGUACCCUAACCGUGCAAAGGUAGCAUAAUCAUUUGCCUUUUAAUUGGAGGCUGGUAUGAAUGGUUUGACGAGAGCUAUGCUGUCUCUUUUAAAAUAUUUAAAAAUUAACUUUUAGGUGAAGAGGCCUAAAUUUAUUUAAGGGACAAGAAGACCCUGUUGAGCUUUAGUGAUGUUGUAAACGAUGAAGAAUAAGGUCAUUAUUGAUUUGUUGUGUAUUUAUUAUAAUAAAAGUUUGCAGAUAAUCUUUAGUUGGGGCGACUGAGGAACAUAAAAAGCUUCCUUGUAUAUAAAUUAUUUAAGUAAUUGAAUAAAUUAAUGCUUAUGUGUUAUUUUGAUCCAAAUUAUUUUUGAUUAAGAGAAAAAGUUACCACAGGGAUAACAGCGUAAUCUUUCUGGAGAGAUCUUAUCGAAAGAAGGGUUUGCGACCUCG